AUUGAACGCUGGCGGCAUGCUUUACACAUGCAAGUCGAACGGUAACAGGGUGCUUGCACCGCUGACGAGUGGCGAACGGGUGAGUAAUGCGUCGGAACGUGCCGAGUAGUGGGGGAUAACGCAGCGAAAGUUGUGCUAAUACCGCAUACGUACUGAGGUAGAAAGUGGGGGACCUCGGGCCUCGCGCUAUUCGAGCGGCCGACGUCUGAUUAGCUAGUAGGUGAGGUAAAGGCUCACCUAGGCGACGAUCAGUAGCGGGUCUGAGAGGAUGAUCCGCCACACUGGGACUGAGACACGGCCCAGACUCCUACGGGAGGCAGCAGUGGGGAAUUUUGGACAAUGGGCGAAAGCCUGAUCCAGCCAUGCCGCGUGUCUGAAGAAGGCCUUCGGGUUGUAAAGGACUUUUGUCGGGGAGGAAAUCCCCAGCGUUAAUACCGCUGGGGGAUGACAGUACCUGAAGAAUAAGCACCGGCUAACUACGUGCCAGCAGCCGCCGUAAGAC
rnacentral:rRNA from 1 species